UACGUAGGCAGCGAGCGUUGUUCGGAGUUACUGGGCGUAAAGAGUGCGUAGGCGGUUUUCUAAGUUUGGUGUGAAAUCUCCCGGCUUAACUGGGAGGGUGCGCCGAAGACUGGAAGGCUUGAGUAUGGGAGAGGUAAGCGGAAUUCUUGGUGUAGCGGUGAAAUGCGUAGAUAUCAAGAGGAACACCUGCGGCGAAGGCGGGUUGCUGGGCCGACACUGACGCUGAAGCGCGAAAGCCAGGGGAGCGAACGGG
rnacentral:rRNA from 1 species